ensembl:processed_transcript
ACAGCCUUCAAUUAAUCUUAUGUGAAUAAAUGCUUAAAUGAUAUCUGUACCAAAUCUUCCUGACUUGAUUAAAGAUAUCUUAAUAUAUGUUGCAAGAUAAAUUAAGUGAAUAGUUUUGUACUGUCAUGAUUAAUGCGUAAGGAAAUGCAUUGGUUUAUGCUGGUCCAUCCAUGAGGCAACCCAAAAUAAUUAAAUCAUUUCUGAAUUAUGCUUUGCUAUCUGUGACUAAUUUGUGUAAUCAGAAACAAAUAGUGACCAGAGGGCACAGGAAGCUUCAUCCCACAAUCUCCAACAGGAGCAACCCAUCACAAUCAUCCCUCUUUCCACAGGACGCUUUCAAUUUAUGCAAAUCUGCUGUUAUCCUCUAUGACACCUCAUUUCCUGCUGGCCUUUCAAAUCUUCCAGUCACUUUAAAUCUAUAUUGUUUAAUUCCAAGCGAUUAGUUUUUUUUCUUGCUCCUGAUUUCUAUUGUUUUACAGCUUUCUUUUUGGUUUCUUCCUCCCAAAAAGUCUCAUUGGCAGUAGAAAUUAUUUGAGUGUUGCAGGGUGCAAAUACAUCAAGACUAGAAGACGGCAAGAGUUGUGUAACUGCCAACCAUGAGAGGAGAGCCACCCUAACAAGGGGUGGUGCAAGUCAUGAGCUAUAAGUGUGGCUGAACAAGACAGUUUCACACAAUCACCUGCAGAUGAGACACAGACACUGGAAUAGCUUAGACUUGGACUUUUUUUGCAACAUGGAAUCAAGAACUACUCUGAUCUUCAUUUGUACCAUGUGGACAACUCUCCUAGAAGGAUGGGGGUUGCCUGUAGUGCCACAGACUGACCUGAAUGACCCGUCUGCAAACCAUAGGGUCAGGAGCAAACGUUGUUCCUGCAACAACCAGAUGGACUCCGAAUGCCACUAUUUCUGCCAUCUGGACAUCAUCUGGGUGAACACGCCAAGUAAGACCACUGUGUAUGGAUUGGGAAGUCCAUUGUCUCGUCGGAGGAGAUCUACAGGCCGCUGUUCAUGUGCUAACCCUGCGGAUCGAACGUGCAAAAGUUUCUGCCACUACAGCUCUGAAAACCCGGCCAUCAUACUGGUGCACCCAUCUCAGCCUGAACAUAAGAAACUGGAACAACCCAAAAUAGAUCACCCAAUCGCUCUCAACAGUGGAAAUGCCAGUCCUGAAGUUCAGAUUUUAGGGAAACCUUCUUCUUUUGGGGCUCGAUCUGAUGCCAUAACCUUCCUUGGGAACCUGGUUAGGGCUCGAGCCAGAGCCAUGGCAAAUACAUCUAAAGCCAGCAAACUUGGCUAUAGAUGAAGAUGUUACCUGACGGAGAGAUAAGAGUGCGAGCAUUUGAACAAAAAGAUGACCCUCGUGCAUCUUAGAGCAGCAGAACAUGUAAAAUACUCUGCGAUAUGGAAAUCUCGAGGACAGCCCUGUGGAAGCGGAGCCUUUGACACAUGUUUAGGACAGAAUGGGAGACAUGAAGAUGUUGAGGGCAAGUCAGGCCAGUUCACUAGGACUGCAGCGCAAAAGAGGGUUAGAAGUUAGCGACUGCUAACAGCAUGUUAUGCUAAGCCAGUUCAAAACAUCACAUUUGAGCAGUCAAGAGAUAAAGGAGACAGGUGAAGUGCUCAUGGAAAGUUAAAGGGAACUUGGAAGAGUAAAAAAAUGUACUACUUAUAUUAUUUAAUAGUACCACUGGAGCCAACUACGAGUACAUUUAAAACAGAGAAGGCGUGAUAGAAAUGUAAAAAAAAUACAAGGUGCGACAAAAGAUAGCCUAUAUUUGAGUUCAUUAAAUAUUUAUCUCAGAUAAACAAUAGAUUCAAACGGUGUCAUUUUGAAACUGCUGAUAUCUUGUUUUUUUUUCAACACCCAACCCAAGAGCAUUCCAGUUGGAAUGUUAUAUAAGGCUUUUAUCUAAAGUACAUACAGUAAAGAAACAAUAAAUAUGAAUAAUUGACAUUACAUUUUUUAUGAAUCAUUAGCUAUUCAACUCUAACAUAUUUAUUUAAGCAAUAUGUUUAUAAGCAAGCAGCACUAAGAUGAAUAAUUUCUUUCUGAAAAGGCACAUACAGGCUAGGAAGGCCAAAGUGAAAUAUGGCAUACAAUCGUGUUAAAAAUAUAUGCUCAAGUCAAAUGUGAAUAUACAAAGACUAUAUUCAUUCUGCUUAUUUACCUCUCAGGACAAUAGUUAUCUAUGUUUGGCAGGCACUUGUACUUGUACUUUUUAAUGGCAAGUGUACUUUGGCCUGAAGUUAUGCUUCUUGUUCUUUUUACAGAGCAGCCUAUUAGUUUUCUUCAUAAUUUUAAACACUGUUCUGAAACCUAAAAUGAAAAGCCAUAUAUAAAUAAACUAUAAGUACUCUAACUUAAAGUAUACUAGCAGUGUAAAAACACUGUAGAAUUAGCAGUUAUCGAGAGAGUGAUUUUAUAAGCUUGAAAAAUUUGAAAUAGACUACUUGUAUACAAAAAGAUCACUUCUAGUAUAGCAUAUAAACUAAUUGUGUACUGUUCUGUUUGACUUAAUGUACACAAAACUUAAAUUUAGUCUCAAGUAGUAUGCAUUUUAUCUGGACUGUGCCUUUGUUUUUCAUAUCCAUCUACAUUUAAUAAUCAUAUCCAUUCAUAAGUGAUGCAGACAGUUGUUAAACUGAUGUUUUUACCACAAGAUAUAGAAAAAAGAUUUAACCUUGCCAAAAAAGCAGGAGUACAUUGCUAUGUACUGAACUUCACUGAAACAUUUUAUAAUGCAAACAAUGCAAAAUGCACAAUAUGUUUACAAUUGAUUCUUGUUGUUAAAGUAUAUGUAUCGUUACUUUUUUUUAAUUUACAGCAUUUUAUUCUUAUAAUGAAGUUACUCUGUAGAAUUGUAGGAUUCUGAUCUGAUGUGAUUAAUCUUAUUGCAUAUAUUUUAGUUUUUGUGAUUCUGUCUGUAUGAUUAACAAAGAAUGCUAAUAAAUUCAUUUUGAGAACAUUUUGUACUUGUUCUGACCCUAAUUUUAUUUCUUUCUUCUGUCUCCCCGCAGU